UACAUGGGGUGCAAACGUUGCUCGGAAUCAUUGGGCGUAAAGCGCGCGUAGGCGGUUACUUAAGUCGGAUGUGAAAGCCCUCGGCUUAACUGAGGAAGUGCAUCCGAAACUGAGUAGCUAGAGUACGAAAGAGGGUCGCGGAAUUCCCGGUGUAGAGGUGAAAUUCGUAGAUAUCGGGAGGAACACCGGUGGCGAAGGCGGCGACCUGGGUCGACACUGACGCUGAGGCGCGAAAGCGUGGGGAGCGAACGGG
rnacentral:rRNA from 1 species